rnacentral:rRNA from 1 species
GACGAACGCUGGCGGCGUGCUUAACACAUGCAAGUCGAACGGUAAGGCCCUUCGGGGUACACGAGUGGCGAACGGGUGAGUAACACGUGGGUGAUCUGCCCUGCACUUCGGGAUAAGCCUGGGAAACUGGGUCUAAUACCGGAUAGGACCACUGCCUGCAGGGGUGGUGGUGGAAAGCUUUUGCGGUGUGGGAUGGGCCCGCGGCCUAUCAGCUUGCUGGUGGGGUGAUGGCCUACCAAGGCGACGACGGGUAGCCGGCCUGAGAGGGUGACCGGCCACACUGGGACUGAGAUACGGCCCAGACUCCUACGGGAGGCAGCAGUGGGGAAUAUUGCACAAUGGGCGCAAGCCUGAUGCAGCGACGCCGCGUGAGGGAUGACGGCCUUCGGGUUGUAAACCUCUUUCAGCACCGACGAAGCGCAAGUGACGGUAGGUGCAGAAGAAGGACCGGCCAACUACGUGCCAGCAGCCGCUGUAA